rnacentral:tRNA from 1 species
GAGGGUGUAGCUCAAGUGGGUAGAGCGCAUGCUUAGCACGCAUGAGGUCCUGGGUUCAAUCCCCAGUACCUCCU